rnacentral:ncRNA from 1 species
ACCAUCCUUUUCUUGGGGUUGCGCUACUGUCCAGUGAACAUCUAGUGAGGGCAGUACUGCUAAUGCUUAGAUAACACAUUCGUAUCAGUUAGAGCUUUGCUUUAUCUUGGUGUAAUUUUUGGAAAC